rnacentral:rRNA from 1 species
GACGAACGCUGGCGGCGUGCUUAACACAUGCAAGUCGAACGGUGAAGGGACCGGUUUUUGCUGGUUCUGGAUGAGGGGCGAACGGGUGAGUAACACGUGAGUAACCUGCCCCCUUCUUCUGGAUAACCGCAUGAAAGUGUGGCUAAUACGGGAUAUUCUGCGCCUGCUGCAUGGUGGGUGUGGGAAAGAUAUUGUUUCGGUGGGGGAUGGGCUCGCGGCCUAUCAGCUUGUUGGUGGGGUGAUGGCCUACCAAGGCGGUGACGGGUAGCCGGCCUGAGAGGGUGGACGGUCACACUGGGACUGAGACACGGCCCAGACUCCUACGGGAGGCAGCAGUGGGGAAUAUUGCACAAUGGGCGCAAGCCUGAUGCAGCGACGCCGCGUGAGGGAUGGAGGCCUUCGGGUUGUAAACCUCUUUCGCCAGUGAAGCAGGCCUGUCCCUUUUGUGGGUGGGUUGACGGUAGCUGGAUAAGAAGCGCCGGCUAACUACGUG